rnacentral:lncRNA from 1 species
UAUAAUUCUCUACAGUAACAAAAUACUUCCUGAAGUAUCCCUUUAGGUGUCGAUGGGACAGUUUGUCUAAAAAUGAAUGCCUCCUGGUAAAUUAGUCUUCCCACCUGAAUGUCUUUCCAUCCAAAGGAGAGAUUUUAAAUCCUUUGACAUUUUGAGCCAAAUACCAGCAGCAGCAGCAGUCCUUUGUCGAAAGUGCCUAUGUAGUUUUAAAAACUCAUUACUAAGGGGAAAAGGUUCAUUUAGAAACUUGUGUGGUUUUGCAUAAACUGGGCCAUCUUCAUUUAUGUAAAUGUGUUUUAUUUGUGG